rnacentral:lncRNA from 1 species
AUAGAAUUGAAUACUACUAUAUUUUUGCUUCUUAUAAAAAUGAUUCUAAUUUGAAGAAGUACUUUAAAUUAUUAAGACAAGUAGAAUCAGUCUGAUAAUUAAUGAAUGCUUGCCUGAAUAGUCCUGUAUGCAUGGCUGUGGGCUGUGAAAGGUGGCUGUUAAUCUGGUCUGUAAUUUCUAUGAUCAUCUUAAUUGGCAUCCAGCAUUGCAGUGGUGCAUGGGAUGUUUGGUUCGGUGAUGUUGAUGCAAUUUAUAUUUUUGCUUGGGUUUACAUGUUAAUUUUUUGUGUACCUAUGAUUUCUAUUUAUAAUUCUUAAAUGUAGAUUUUAUGUAUCUUAAUAGUU